AACGAACGCUGGCGGCACGCCUAACACAUGCAAGUCGAAUGAAGCCUUCGGGCUUAGUGGCGCACGGGUGCGUAACGCGUGGGAAUCUGCCCUUGGGUUCGGAAUAACAGUUAGAAAUGACUGCUAAUACCGGAUGAUGUCUUCGGACCAAAGAUUUAUCGCCCUAGGAUGAGCCCGCGUAGGAUUAGGUAGUUGGUGGGGUAAUGGCCCACCAAGCCGACGAUCCUUAGCUGGUCUGAGAGGAUGAUCAGCCACACUGGGACUGAGACACGGCCCAGACUCCUACGGGAGGCAGCAGUGGGGAAUAUUGGACAAUGGGCGAAAGCCUGAUCCAGCAAUGCCGCGUGAGUGAUGAAGGCCUUAGGGUUGUAAAGCUCUUUUACCAGGGAUGAUAAUGACAGUACCUGGAGAAUAAGCUCCGGCUAACUCCGUGCCAGCCGCCGCCGUAA
rnacentral:rRNA from 1 species